rnacentral:tRNA from 1 species
GGGGAUGUAGCUCAGCUUGGGAGAGCACUACCUUCGCACGGUAGGGGUCGGGGGUUCGAUUCCCCUCAUCUCCACCA